rnacentral:lncRNA from 1 species
UGGCCUUACAAUAAUAAUAAUAAUAAAAGCUAUACAAAUUGAAAAUCAAUGACAUUUCCACAGUGGGAGACAUAUUUUAUUUAGGAGGCAGCAGUCUACUUAGUUUUUGAGAGCUUAAUCGAUAGAUAGUUCAGGUUUUCUAGUGAACCAAUUUGAGCAGAAAUAACACAAUGUGCAGAAUACUGCAAGUGAAUUUUCUUUUCUCCAAAUAGUGUGAGCUAAAUCAUGUUUACUAUAGUGAUAAUAUUAAUUAUUCUAUGGAUAUGCUAGAAUUAUUCUACUAUCUUAUGUUGUUUUCUGACCACAUUUUCCAAAACACUUUAAAUUGUGCUUUACCCUUUCAUACCCUUUUAUUGUUUACUGAUUCAUUCCACAAAUUAAAAUUAUUUAACUAAUUGGUAAUAAUGUGCACUGAAACAAAAAACAAUAAUGUCACUUCAGAUUGUGACUGAUUCUUAAAAUAUUCUCUUCUAUGGUCUUCAUG